rnacentral:lncRNA from 1 species
AUGUCUCCAAGUUACCUGUACACAUUACAAACUGGAGCUAAAAUGAAUGCUCUCCUUCCUUCCCUUUCAUGGCAGAGCAAGGUGGUGACUCCCUCAGGCUAUGAAAAACACCAACUGGCAGAUGGCCCUUACCUUGGAUCAGAUUUCCAGCUUUGACCAAAUUCUAUGUCUGACUGAGGGAGAAGAGACAGAAGUAUAGGGACACAUUGUGGUUGUUCAGGUGAGCACACGCUGAAACUGGUAGGCACAGAAAUCACCAGAUAAGAGAAAAAGGUAGCUGGGCACUCCAUCUAUUUUAGGCUACUGUAUUUAUGAACCAGUGA